AUUUUUAUAAGUCACGUGGUAUUUCGAAAACGAGGCAGUGAGAAAACGUCAACAGAAACACGUGAAUUUUUAGAGAUGUCCGAUUCAUCAAGCAGUCAAAGCAGUAACACGAUAGAUUAUGAAUAUGCACAAGUCCAUACAUCCCCAAGGAGGGGGAGGGGAUUAAGGAGGAGGGGAGGAACCUGUGGACGGCUAAGGGGUCGAGGAAGGGGUCUCGGGGCAGACAGCAGUCCAAGGAUGGAGAGGGCGAGGUAGAGGAAGGGGGCCAAGGGGUGCACGUGGUACAGUUGCAAUUGCUGUGCUGCAGCAGGAGGAUCGGGCCAGGGUACUGACAUUGCAACAGCAAAGGAGAAGGGAUCUACAUGAACCUUGCGCUCCUAUCAUACAAAGCUAAUAAUCAUAUUUUUGUAAUAUUAGUAGUGUGACUUUCUGUAUGCUACUGUUUUAUGAAUGUUAUCCACAAUUUACUUCAUCAUUCAAGUUAUUUUGACUAGUUGAUAAUCAAUUACAAAGUACUGUAUUA